rnacentral:rRNA from 1 species
GUAGGUGGCAAGCGUUGUCCGGAAUUAUUGGGCGUAAAGCGCGCGCAGGUGGUUCUUUAAGUCUGAUGUGAAAGCCCCCGGCUCAACCGGGGAGGGUCAUUGGAAACUGGGGAACUUGAGUGCAGGAGAGGAAAGUGGAAUUCCACGUGUAGCGGUGAAAUGCGUAGAUAUGUGGAGGAACACCAGUGGCGAAGGCGACCUUCUGGCCUGUAACUGACACUGAGGCGCGAAAGCGUGGGGAGCAAACAGGGAUUAGAUACCCUGGUAGUCCACGCCGUAAACGAUGAGUGCUAAGUGUUGGGGGGGUUUCCCGCCCCUCAGUGCUGCAGCUAACGCAUUAAGCACUCCGCCUGGGGAUACGGCCGCAAGACUG